GAUGGCAUUUAAUAAAUUAUCCAAAUUCCCUUUUAGCAAGAGUGCUUAAAGCUAAAUAUUAUCCACAGACGUGUUAUCUAAAUGCACUGUUGGGAAACUUACCAUCUCUUACCUGGAAGAGUAUUUGGACAGCAAAAGGAAACCUUCUCAAGGGGCUAAGUUGGAGAGUGGGAAAAGGAACCGCAAUAUCUAUUUGGAAUGAUCGAUGGAUACCAGGAUUGAACCUGAGAUAUGGCAUAACAGAGAAAGAAAUGAGGGGUUAAAUUUAGUAUCAGACCUAAUUGACAGCAUAACCAAGAUGUGAAAAGUAGAGACAAAUACAACUACCUUCCAAUGGGAUGUUGCUCAAAGAAUUCUACAGAUCCCUCUUGCAAGAAUAGACUGGGAGGAUAUGCAGGUGUGGAAAGGUGAAUAUUCUGGUGAUUUCUCAGUCUAGAGCACCUACAAACUAUUACAAGAAGCUAGCCUGGAUCCUAGUAGUUACUUAGUACACACUGAAACUAAAGAAUUUUACAAGAAUUUAUGGAAUUUACAACUACCACAAAAAAUUUUAAUCCUUAUAUGGCGGAUUUCCUGGAACUAUAUCCCAUCCCUAUCUAAUCUGAGAUAUAAAAGAGUGACCACAAACGCCAGAUGCCCUCGUUGCCAUUCUGAGGAGGACGAUAGCCAUCACGUGUUUCUGAUGGAACUUGAAGGAGUUAGGGGAAGUAAGAUUACUCACGCGCUCACUGAAGCUGAAAGACAAGACAGAGAAACAUCAAGGGAGAUAAUACAGUUUGAUGCAGCCUUUGAUAACAGGAAUUUCAAAUCGGCGUCAGGAAUGGUUGUUCGGGAUCAAGAUGGCAUGAUUAGAGCCUCAAAGUCGACUUUGCACUCCAACAUUUCAUCCCUGUUUGUUGCAGAAGCAUACGCAUGUUUAGAGGCAACCAAGUUAGGUAUCAGCAUGGGGAUAGAAUCAGUCACGAUUAUUGGGGACUCGAAAACAAUUAUUAACAAAUGUCAAUCAACAACAAGGGACAAAUCAGUUAUCGGAGCGAUUAUUAAAGAUAUUCAGGGUAAUAGCUCUCGCUUUCAGAAAAUUGUUUUCAGAUUCAUUCAAAGAAUAGAAAAUGGCCCAGCUCAUAAUCUUGCAAACGAU
rnacentral:lncRNA from 1 species